rfam:Pochonia chlamydosporia 170 chromosome 4, whole genome shotgun sequence.
GGGCGGAUGGUUUAGUGGUAUAAUACUCCCUUAGCAUAAAGUCCACUUGUGGAUUUCAUUAUCUGGGAGUGGUCCGGGGUUCGAUUCCCCGUCUGUCCA